rnacentral:rRNA from 1 species
CUAUACAUGACUCUGCGCAUAUCAAUAAGCGGAGGAAAAGAAACUAACAAGGAUUCCCUUAGUAACGGCGAGUGAAGCGGGAAGAGCUCAAAUUUGAAAUCUUCAAGGUUUUACCUUGACGAAUUGUAGUUUAAAGAAGUGUUUUCUGCUGAAGUUUUGGUAAAAGUUCUUUGGAAUAGGACAUCAUAGAGGGUGAGAAUCCCGUAUUUGACCAUUAUUUUCAGCUUUGUGAUACACUUUCAAAGAGUCGGAUUGUUUGGGAAUGCAGUCCAAAAUGGGUGGUAAAUUUCAUCUAAAGCUAAAUAUUGGCGAGAGACCGAUAGCGAACAAGUACCGUGAGGGAAAGAUGAAAAGAACUUUGAAAAGAGAGUUAAACAGUACGUGAAAUUGUCAAAAGGGAAGCGUUUGACACCAGUGUUGUUUUCUCGAAAAUCAAUUAAAAAUGGCUCGAUUUUGUAUUGCUUGAGACCUUAAAAGCUCACUGUACAUUUUUCGUGUCUUUUUUAAUGCACUUUUCGUUUAACAAGUCAACAUCAGUUUCUUUUGUUGUAAAAGGGUCAUUGGAAGGUGGCUUUCCUUUCGGAGAAAGUGUUUAUAGCCUUUGGCCUCUGCAAUCGGAGAGACUGAGGUCUGCAGCGUAGACUCUUCGGGGUUAGAUACAUUUGUGCUAAGUUAUAGCUUUUUAUAGACAACUUGUUGACUAUAAUUAGUCUUGUAGCUUACUCGCUUAUGCUAUUUUACCUACGCUUAGGAUGUUGAAGAUGUAGCACAUCAU